CAGCUGGUCUGAGUAUAGAGCCCUUUUGGAAUGUAUACGGUAUGCAUAAAACACGGGAAAUUUAUCAACUCCUUGAGCAAUAUAGAAUAGGCAAUCUGCAUGACGAUGAUAUUGUCGACCACACAGACGAAGAGCUCUGGGUCAGAGAGCCGUACAGAGACGAGCGGCUGAUCGUAAAAACAGCGCGGCCGUUUAAUGCGGAAAUACCACCGAAGCUCCAAAUCGAACAUUUCGAUACACCAAAAUGGAUGUAAAAAGACGUUAUUGCACAGUGCGGCAACAGGAAAUCAUGUUGAAUUUCCUUCAGAAACAUCCAGACUUAGCCUUGGGGCUGGAACGGUCCAAAGAAGGAAGAGCUCGCGCUGCCUUACUGUGGCAGAAGUGUGCUCGUCUCGCCAACUCCGAGGGACCACCGCGCACGCCUAGACAAUGGCUAAAAUAUUGGCACGAUUUGAAAUGGAAAGUACGUACUAAGACGGCAGUUAAACCCACAACUAGUUCGAGUAAUGUCAGUACACCGGCCCCACUGUUAACGGCUAUAGAAAUAAAAGCAGCCAACAUUAUGGGAAUUGAAGUUAACACUUUACAUGUACAAAA
rnacentral:misc_RNA from 1 species